UUGCUCAGUAACGGCGAGUGAAGCGGCAACAGCUCAAAUUUGAAAUCUGGCCCCAGGCCCGAGUUGUAAUUUGCAGAGGAUGCUUUUGGCGCGGUGCCUUCCAAGUUCCCUGGAACGGGACGCCACAGAGGGUGAGAGCCCCGUCAGGUCGUGCAACCAAGCCUUUGUAAAGCUCCUUCGACGAGUCGAGUAGUUUGGGAAUGCUGCUCUAAAUGGGAGGUAUAUGUCUUCUAAAGCUAAAUACCGGCCAGAGACCGAUAGCGCACAAGUAGAGUGAUCGAAAGAUGAAAAGCACUUUGAAAAGAGAGUUAAAAAGCACGUGAAAUUGUUGAAAGGGAAGCGUUCAUGACCAGACUUGGGCCCGGUUGAUCAUCCAGCGUUCUCGCUGGUGCACUCUGCCGGCCCAGGCCAGCAUCAGUUCGCUCCGGGGGACAAAGGUUCAGGGAAUGUGGCUCCCCUCGGGGAGUGUUAUAGCCCUGUUCAAAUGCCCUGGGGUGGACUGAGGUCCGCGCAUUGCAAGGAUGCUGGCGUAAUGGUCAUCAACGACCCGUCUUGAAACACGGACCAAGGAGUCGUCUUCGUAUGCGAGUGUUUGGGCGUUAAACCCCGGCGCGUAAUGAAAGUGAACGCAGGUGAGAGCUUCGGCGCAUCAUCGACCGAUCCUGAUGUUCUCGGAUGGAUUUGAGUAAGAGCAUACGGGGCCGGACCCGAAAGAAGGUGAACUAUGCCUGUAUAGGGUGAAGCCAGAGGAAACUCUGGUGGAGGCUCGCAGCGGUUCUGACGUGCAAAUCGAUCGUCAAAUAUGGGCAUGGGGGCGAAAGACUAAUCGAACCUUCUAGUAGCUGUU
rnacentral:rRNA from 1 species